CCUACGGGAGGCAGCAGUGAGGAAUAUUGGUCAAUGGACGAGAGUCUGAACCAGCCAAGUAGCGUGAAGGAUGACUGCCCUAUGGGUUGUAAACUUCUUUUAUAUGGGAAUAAAAUGUUCCACGUGUGGGAUUUUGUAUGUACCAUAUGAAUAAGGAUCGGCUAACUCCGUGCCAGCAGCCGCGGUAAUACGGAGGAUCCGAGCGUUAUCCGGAUUUAUUGGGUUUAAAGGGAGCGUAGGUGGAUUGUUAAGUCAGUUGUGAAAGUUUGCGGCUCAACCGUAAAAUUGCAGUUGAAACUGGCAGUCUUGAGUACAGUAGAGGUGGGCGGAAUUCGUGGUGUAGCGGUGAAAUGCUUAGAUAUCACGAAGAACUCCGAUUGCGAAGGCAGUUCACUGGACUGCAACUGACACUGAGGCCCGAAAGUGUGGGUAUCAAACAGGAUUAGAUACCCCAGUAGUC
rnacentral:rRNA from 1 species